CUCUGGUAUUGAUUGGUGCUUGCAUCAUGAUUUACAUUUGAGUGAGUGGCGAACUGGUGAGUAACACGUGGGAAACCUGCCCAGAAGCGGGGGAUAACACCUGGAAACAGAUGCUAAUACCGCAUAACAACUUGGACCGCAUGGUCCGAGUUUGAAAGAUGGCUUCGGCUAUCACUUUUGGAUGGUCCCGCGGCGUAUUAGCUAGAUGGUGAGGUAACGGCUCACCAUGGCAAUGAUACGUAGCCGACCUGAGAGGGUAAUCGGCCACAUUGGGACUGAGACACGGCCCAAACUCCUACGGGAGGCAGCAGUAGGGAAUCUUCCACAAUGGACGAAAGUCUGAUGGAGCAACGCCGCGUGAGUGAAGAAGGGUUUCGGCUCGUAAAACUCUGUUGUUAAAGAAGAACAUAUCUGAGAGUAACUGUUCAGGUAUUGACGGUAUUUAACCAGAAAGCCACGGCUAACUACGUGCCAGCAGCCGCGGUAAUACGUAGGUGGCAAGCGUUGUCCGGAUUUAUUGGGCGUAAAGCGAGCGCAGGCGGUUUUUUAAGUCUGAUGUGAAAGCCUUCGGCUCAACCGAAGAAGUGCAUCGGAAACUGGGAAACUUGAGUGCAGAAGAGGACAGUGGAACUCCAUGUGUAGCGGUGAAAUGCGUAGAUAUAUGGAAGAACACCAGUGGCGAAGGCGGCUGUCUGGUCUGUAACUGACGCUGAGGCUCGAAAGUAUGGGUAGCAAACAGGAUUAGAUACCCUGGUAGUCCAUACCGUAAACGAUGAAUGCUAAGUGUUGGAGGGUUUCCGCCCUUCAGUGCUGCAGCUAACGCAUUAAGCAUUCCGCCUGGGGAGUACGGCCGCAAGGCUGAAACUCAAAGGAAUUGACGGGGGCCCGCACAAGCGGUGGAGCAUGUGGUUUAAUUCGAAGCUACGCGAAGAACCUUACCAGGUCUUGACAUACUAUGCAAAUCUAAGAGAUUAGACGUUCCCUUCGGGGACAUGGAUACAGGUGGUGCAUGGUUGUCGUCAGCUCGUGUCGUGAGAUGUUGGGUUAAGUCCCGCAACGAGCGCAACCCUUAUUAUCAGUUGCCAGCAUUAAGUUGGGCACUCUGGUGAGACUGCCGGUGACAAACCGGAGGAAGGUGGGGAUGACGUCAAAUCAUCAUGCCCCUUAUGACCUGGGCUACACACGUGCUACAAUGGAUGGUACAACGAGUUGCGAACUCGCGAGAGUAAGCUAAUCUCUUAAAGCCAUUCUCAGUUCGGAUUGUAGGCUGCAACUCGCCUACAUGAAGUCGGAAUCGCUAGUAAUCGCGGAUCAGCGUGCCGCGGUGAAUACGUUCCCGGGCCUUGUACACACCG
rnacentral:rRNA from 2 species